rnacentral:rRNA from 1 species
GGAUGAACGCUGGCGGCGUGCCUAAUACAUGCAAGUCGAGCGAACGGACGAGAAGCUUGCUUUUCUGAUGUUAGCGGCGGACGGGUGAGUAACACGUAGAUAACCUACCUAUAAGACUGGGAUAACUUCGGGAAACCGGAGCUAAUACCGGAUAAUAUUUUGAACCGCAUGGUUCAAAAGUGAAAGACGGUCUUGCUGUCACUUAUAGAUGGAUCCGCGCUGCAUUAGCUAGUUGGUAAGGUAACGGCUUACCAAGGCAACGAUGCAUAGCCGACCUGAGAGGGUGAUCGGCCACACUGGAACUGAGACACGGUCCAGACUCCUACGGGAGGCAGCAGUAGGGAAUCUUCCGCAAUGGGCGAAAGCCUGACGGAGCAACGCCGCGUGAGUGAUGAAGGUCUUCGGAUCGUAAAACUCUGUUAUUAGGGAAGAACAUAUGUGUAAGUAACUGUGCACAUCUUGACGGUACCUAAUCAGAAAGCCACGGCUAACUACGUG